UACGUAGGGUGCAAGCGUUAAUCGGAAUUACUGGGCGUAAAGCGUGCGCAGGCGGUUAUGUAAGACAGUUGUGAAAUCCCCGGGCUCAACCUGGGAACUGCAUCUGUGACUGCAUAGCUAGAGUACGGUAGAGGGGGAUGGAAUUCCGCGUGUAGCAGUGAAAUGCGUAGAUAUGCGGAGGAACACCGAUGGCGAAGGCAAUCCCCCUGG
rnacentral:rRNA from 1 species